rnacentral:rRNA from 1 species
AGCAGUAGCCGCGGGAAAACGAAGGGUGCAAGCGUUACUCGGAAUUACUGGGCGUAAAGCGUGCGUAGGUGGUGGUUUAAGUCCGUUGUGAAAGCCCUGGGCUCAACCUGGGAAUUGCAGUGGAUACUGGGUCACUAGAGUGUGGUAGAGGAUAGUGGAAUUUCCGGUGUAGCAGUGAAAUGCGUAGAGAUCGGAAGGAACAUCUGUGGCGAAGGCGACUAUCUGGGCCAACACUGACACUGAGGCACGAAAGCGUGGGGAGCAAACAGGAUUAGAUACCCCAGUAGUCCCUGUCUCUUAUAC